AAAUAAAAUCUAAACCUGUUGUAUGUGUAUGUAAUCGACUAGCACACAAGAAAAACACAAAAUAUAGUUUAAAAAGGUGUUCGCUAGCAUGCCUCGCUUACCAAAACAUGAGCGUUCAGAGGCUGUUGGUAUGCUGAGAGCCGGAGGUGGCGUAACCGACGUCGCGCGUCAGUUUUAUUGCGCGAGAUCCACGGUUAAUCGCCUUCGUGAAAGAUACGACGUCACUGGAAGUAUUAAAGGACGUCCACGCCCGGGUCAGCCCAUGGUAACAACGCCUAGACAGGACGCCAACCUUCGACGCGUUCACAAACGUUACCGCUUCCGGUCUUCCACCCACAGUGCCAAACAAACAAUUGGUAUCCGUGGGCGACCAAUCCAUGCCCGAACCGUGAUACGUAGACUGCGUGCCGUUGGUUUACGUUGUCGCAGACCUUAACGGGGAUAUAUUUUGACCGAUAGACACAAAGCUGCGAGACUUGUUUGGGCAUGUAUACAUCAUCGGUGGACCCGACGACAAUGGUUGUAUGGGUUUUAGUAAUCUAAGUUCAAUGUUCAGAACUGUGAUGGACGUGUUAGAGUGUAUCGUUCGAGAGGGGAGAGGUUCAUCGAACAAUGAAUACAGAAGUUUAAUCGUGGCUUUGGUGGCAGCAUUCAUGUGUGGGCUGGGAUUUCCCAAUUUUUACAAAACUGAUAUUGUCAUUCUCCAGGGCAAUGUCACCGCUAGGCGAUACAUAGACACCGUAUUAGCUCCUGUUGUUGCUCCAUUUAUGCAGCGUGAUCUCAGAGGAGGAUUAUUCCAACAAGACAAUGCACCUGCACACUCGGCUCGACUUACAAGAGUUUUCCUUGCCACGAAUGGAAUUGCUGCGUUAAACUGGCCAUCGCUAUCGCUUGACAUGUCUCCCAUUGAGCAUGUCUGGGACAAGUUAGGAAAACGCUUGAGAGCCCAUCGUCAAGCCCCUAGAAAUCUCAACCAGUUACGUCAAGCCUUAAUACGCGAGUGGAAUAACAUUACCCAACAUCAAAUUACAAACAUUGUGUUGUCGAUUAGACGUAGAUGCACUGCCUGCAUUGCUUCUAAUGGAAGUUACACGCGUUAUUGAUUUUUGUAAAAUUGCGAGUUUCAAUGUUAAGGGUGUUACCACUAGAUUUGUGUUAUUUCCUUUAAUUGUUAUAAUUUUUCAGUAAAAAUUUCGAAAGUUGCUUGUUACAUACCUUUGCUCAUUAUUGCUAAAUAUCAUACCAAUUGAAGAAUGUAUACUUUACCAUUUCGUUACUUUUACAACUGGAGCGUUUUUAAAGUCUCUCAGUGUAUCUGUCACAUUCUUAUCCGUUCAAUGCACUCUGCCAUGAAUUGGUUGACGCUAGACUUUUCUAGUACCAUAUCUUUACUAACUAUAUCAAUGUAGUUUCAUGUCAAGGUUUCAGUCGAAAUUACAUUCAUAGCGUAUCCCACCUUGGCAAAUUCAAAAUUAUUUCCAAUUUUUAAAGAGCCUUGUUCCUUUCCGGUUUAAAACACUUAAGCAAUCGUACCCAUGCUUUUUGUAGCUAUUGCAUGACGUAUUUUUUAUUCAAUUUUCGAAUAAUCUUCUUUACAUUUUCGCUAGGCUUGCGUGGAUUGGUUUAAUUCAGACUAAACACCAAACCAACUCGUUUUAGGCAAACUGGGCACAUGUCCAGCUGUGGGAGACGGAGCUGGGACGUGUGCGGAAGAAUGCUGGUCCGAUUAUGACUGUCCCGGUGAACAGAAAUGCUGCUCCAAUGGAUGUGGGCACGUCUGCAUGACACCAACACCAAGCUUGAUUUCCGCCUUUUUUCCAACAUCCGACUACGUGGGGUGGCCGAAUGGUGAUUGUAUUCCGUGCUGUGUAUGCGUCACAGAACCUUGUCCGUGCUGCCCUUGGUGCUAGUGUUCCGGAGGAAGACCUCUUUGGCACCAUGAAGGCCAUGGGGUUAAACAGGGGCGUGUUUAAGAAGUGUGCAUUUAAUAUGUUUUACAAACAAUAAAUUAAAAUAACAUACUUGUUUGGUCCAUGUGUAUAUUAUUUUCAUGAACCAUUUAGCUCACAUCAAUUGACCUUAUUCGGAACACAUUUUAUCAUUAGAUGCACACACGUAGCUGCGAUUCUCGUGCGAUUCGACAUUUCUAAACAUACUGUACUGAUACAAGUUAUUAAAAAUUAAUACAUGCA